UACGGAGGGUGCGAGCGUUGUCCGGAUUUAUUGGGUUUAAAGGGUGCGUAGGCGGCUGAUUAAGUCAGCGGUGAAAGACUUCGGCUUAACCGGAGCAGUGCCGUUGAUACUGGUUGGCUUGAGUGUCGGAGGGGUACAUGGAAUUGAUGGUGUAGCGGUGAAAUGCAUAGAUACCAUCAGGAACACCGAUAGCGAAGGCAUUGUACUGGCCGACAACUGACGCUGAUGCACGAAAGUGUGGGGAUCGAACAGG
rnacentral:rRNA from 1 species